rnacentral:rRNA from 1 species
ACGGGUGAGUAACACGUGAGCAAUCUGCCCUCCACAUCGGGAUAACCCCCGGAAACGGGAGCUAAUACCGGAUACGACCACUUCAGGCAUCUGAUGGUGGUGGAAAGUUCCGGCGGUGGAGGAUGAGCUCGCGGCCUAUCAGCUUGUUGGUGAGGUAAUGGCCCACCAAGGCUUCGACGGGUAGCCGGCCUGAGAGGGUGACCGGCCACACUGGGACUGAGACACGGCCCAGACUCCUACGGGAGGCAGCAGUGGGGAAUAUUGGACAAUGGGCGAAAGCCUGAUCCAGCAACGCCGCGUGAGGGAUGACGGCCUUCGGGUUGUAAACCUCUUUCAGCGCAGACGAAGCGAAAGUGACGGUAUGCGCAGAAGAAGCACCGGCCAACUACGUGCCAGCAGCCGCGGUAAUACGUAGGGUGCGAGCGUUGUCCGGAAUUAUUGGGCGUAAAGGGCUCGUAGGCGGUCUGUCACGUCAGGAGUGAAAACUCGGGGCUCAACCCCGAGCCUGCUUCUGAUACGGGCAGACUGGAGGUAUGCAGGGGAGAACGGAAUUCCUGGUGUAGCGGUGAAAUGCGCAGAUAUCAGGAGGAACACCGGUGGCGAAGGCGGUUCUCUGGGCAUUACCUGACGCUGAGGAGCGAAAGUGUGGGGAGCGAACAGGAUUAGAUACC